rnacentral:rRNA from 1 species
AUUGAACGCUGGCGGCAGGCCUAACACAUGCAAGUCGAGCGGAUGAAGGGAGCUUGCUCCUGGAUUCAGCGGCGGACGGGUGAGUAAUGCUAGGAAUCUGCCUGGUAGUGGGGGAUAACGUCCGGAAACGGGCGCUAAUACCGCAUACGUCCUGUGGGAGAAAGUGGGGGAUCUUCGGACCUCACGCUAUCAGAUGAGCCUAGGUCGGAUUAGCUAGUUGGUGGGGUAAAGGCCUACCAAGGCGACGAUCCGUAACUGGUCUGAGAGGAUGAUCAGUCACACUGGAACUGAGACACGGUCCAGACUCCUACGGGAGGCAGCAGUGGGGAAUAUUGGACAAUGGGCGAAAGCCUGAUCCAGCCAUGCCGCGUGUGUGAAGAAGGUCUUCGGAUUGUAAAGCACUUUAAGUUGGGAGGAAGGGCAGUAAGUUAAUACCUUGCUGUUUUGACGUUACCAACAGAAUAAGCACCGGCUAACUUCGUG